UUAUAUUAUAUUAUGUAUGAAUAUAUAGGUUCAGGCAUGACUGUGCAGUAUGAAGUUUGCUUCCCAACCACAUGGUUCCAGGUUCAGUCCCACUGUGUGGUACCUUGCGCAAGUGUCUUCUACUAAAGUUUCAGGCUGACCAAAGCCUUAUAAGUGGAUUUGGUAGAAGGAAA